UACGGAGGGGGCUAGCGUUGUUCGGAAUUACUGGGCGUAAAGCGCACGUAGGCGGCUUUGCAAGUUAGAGGUGAAAGCCCGGAGCUCAACUCCGGAAUUGCCUUUAAAACUGCAUCGCUAGAAUUGUGGAGAGGUAAGUGGAAUUCCGAGUGUAGAGGUGAAAUUCGUAGAUAUUCGGAAGAACACCAGUGGCGAAGGCGACUUACUGGACAAAUAUUGACGCUGAGGUGCGAAAGCGUGGGGAGCAAACAGG
rnacentral:rRNA from 1 species